ensembl:lncRNA
CCAGUUAACAUCUAUCCAGAAUGAAUUAAACAUCAGGCACUGAGCUGACCCGCCGGGGUACCAAGAUGGCUAUGACAGCUUCCUGCCCUUGAGGAUACAGAAUUUACCAGCCAGAGAGUUCCGAUUUCGUGGACAGCAUGCCCGUAAAAGACUUUGAUGAUGACAGUUGGCGAUGUCCAUGGCAGUUAAUGAAUGACAGCACAACGGUGAUCAUAGUGCUUCAGGAAGAGUCUCUCAGAAUGCUGGUAUUCACAGAUCCAGACCACAGGAUGAAUCCUGGGUGCAGGACUUUCUAAACCUAAGGCUGACCCAUUUCGUUGUUGCCUAUAUGGUUCUAUAGGGUCGUAUCUCUAGGUUCUCCCCAAACAGCAGAAGUGGACUGGGAAAAGGUGAAGGGAAUAAGGGAGUCACUUGCUAGAAUAGGUAUGAAUUUAGGGCAGACUUUUUGUUUUUGUGAUGCAGUUACAGGGAAAGUAUUUUUUUCUUGUUAUUGUCUAGUUGCUAAGUUGUGUUUGACUCUUUUGUUACCCUGUGGACUGUAGCCUGCCAGGCUCCUGUACCCAUGGAAUUUUCCAGGGAAGAAUAUUGGAGUGGGCUGCCAUUUCCUUCUCCAGGGGAAUCUUCCUGACCCAGGGAUCGAAUCCUCAUCUACAUUGACGGGCAGAUCCUUUACCACUGAGCCACCAGGGAAGCCCACACGAAACUUACUGCUUGAUUAAAAGAGCAAAGAACAAAGACGUGUGUGCAUAUGGUAUGCAUGUCUAUCAGUGUGGCAGGCGUUGCUCUCCAAAGCAGCACAGGUAUUUAAUAAGCUGAAGAUGUGGUCAGUGUAUUCCAGCUGUUCAUUAAUCUUUCACCAUCUCUUGCACUGAAUUCCUCAAUUAUGCAUUUGCUUGCUUCAUGCUCUUCUCCAUUGUAACACUCUAAACCUGCAUUGCCUAUGGAAUUUUCCCUGGCAUCUCUGCUAUUCCACCCAUGUCAGCUAUAUUUUUACCACUGAAGGCUGUGGCUCCCUGCUGUGGCCUUGCAGGUGUCAAAAGGUG